UACAGAGGGUGCAAGCGUUAAUCGGAAUUACUGGGCGUAAAGGGCGCGUAGGCGGUUAUGUAAGUUAGAUGUGAAAUCCCCGGGCUUAACCUGGGAACUGCAUUUAAUACUGCAUGGCUAGAGUAGAGUAGAGGGAAGUGGAAUUUCCGGUGUAGCGGUGAAAUGCGUAGAUAUCGGAAAGAACAUCAGUGGCGAAGGCGGCUUCCUGGACUCAUACUGACGCUGAGGCGCGAAAGCGUGGGGAGCAAACAGG
rnacentral:rRNA from 1 species